GAUGAACGCUGGCGGCGUGCCUAAUACAUGCAAGUCGAGCGAACAGAUGAGGAGCUUGCUCCUCUGACGUUAGCGGCGGACGGGUGAGUAACACGUGGAUAACCUACCUAUAAGACUGGGAUAACUUCGGGAAACCGGAGCUAAUACCGGAUAAUAUAUUGAACCGCAUGGUUCAAUAGUGAAAGACGGUUUUGCUGUCACUUAUAGAUGGAUCCGCGCCGCAUUCGCUAGUUGGUAAGGUAACGGCUUACCAAGGCAACGAUGCGUAGCCGACCUGAGAGGGUGAUCGGCCACACUGGAACUGAGACACGGUCCAGACUCCUACGGGAGGCAGCAGUAGGGAAUCUUCCGCAAUGGGCGAAAGCCUGACGGAGCAACGCCGCGUGAGUGAAGAAGGUCUUCGGAUCGUAAAACUCUGUUAUUAGGGAAGAACAAAUGUGUAAGUAACUAUGCACGUCUUGACGGUACCUAAUCAGAAAGCCACGGCUAACUACGUG
rnacentral:rRNA from 1 species